AGAUAAUGAGCUUGAUAAGCUUAUAUUUUGAAAAUAUAAGAAAGAAUGAAAAUUUCUAUUAUCUU
rnacentral:tRNA from 1 species